GAACGCUUGCGGCAUGCCUUACACAUGCAAGUCGAACGGGAACAGGUCUCCCGAUGCUGACGAGUGGGGAACAGGGGAGUAAUACAUGGGCACGUGCCCGAUCGUGGGGGAUAGCGAAACGAAAGCUUUGCUAAUACCGCAGAGGAUCUACGGAUGAAAGCAGGGGACCGCGCGGCCUUGCUCGAACUGAGCGGACGAUGGCAGAUUAAGCAGUGUGGUGGGAUAAAAGCUUACCAAGCCGACGCAUCUGUGGCUGGCCUGAGAGGACCACCAGCCACGCUGGGACUGAGACGAGGCCCACACUCCUACUGGAGGGGGCAUUGGGGAAUUUUGGACAAUGGGGGAAAGACUGAUCCAGCCAUACUCGCGUGCAGGAGGAACGCCUUCGAGUUGUGAACUGCGUUUGCAUGGAACAAACAGACUCUGGUUAAGACCUGGGGUCGAUGACGGCACCGGAAGAAUAAUCACCGGCUAACUACAUGCCGACAGGCGCCGAAAAACAUACGGCGCAUGCGUCCAUCGCAAUUACCGGGCGUAUAGCGUGCGCGCGCGGGUAUAUAAGACAGAUGUGAAAUCCCCGGGCUCUUAUGGGAACUGNAUUUGGGACAGUACACCUAGAGGACAGCUUAGAGAGAUGGAAUUCCGCGGGAAGCAUUGAAAUGCAUAAAUAUGCAGAGAACCACCGAUGGCAAAGGCAAUCCCCUGGGCCUGUACUGACCCUCAUGCACAAAAGCGGGGGGAGCAAACAGGAUUAAAUCCCCGGGAAUCCCACCCCCAAAACAAUAUCGACUGGUUGUGGGGUCUUCGCUGACUCAGUAACAAAACUAACGCGUGAACUUGACCGCCAGGGGACUACCGCCGCGAGGAUGACACUCAAAGGAAUUGACGGCGACCCACACGAGCGGUGGAUGAUGUGGUUUAAUUCGAUGCAACGCGAAAAACCUUACCCACCUUCGACAUGUACGGAAUCCUUUAGAGAUAGAGGAGUGCUCUAAAGAGAGCCGUAACACAGGUGCUGCAUGGCUGUCUUCAGCUCUUGUCGUGAGAUGUUGGGUUAAAUCCCGCAACGAGCGCAACCCUUCCCAUUAGGUCAUACGAAAGGGCCCUUUACUGGGGCCGCCCGUGACAAACCGGAGGAAGGUGGGGAAGACGUCAAGUCCUCCUGGCCCUUAUAGGGGGGGCCCCCCCCGUCAUACAAUGGCCGGUACCGAGGGUAGCCAACCCGCGAGGGGGAGCUAAUCCCAUAAAGCCAGUCGUAGUCCGGAUCGCAGUCUGCAACUCGAGUGCGUGAAGUCGGAAUCGCUAGUAAUCGCGGAUCAGCAUGUCGCGGUGAAUACGUUCCCGGGUCU
rnacentral:rRNA from 1 species